GAUGAAGAACGCAGCGAAAUGCGAUAAGUAGUGUGAAUUGCAGAAUUCCGUGAAUCAUCGAAUCUUUGAACGCACAUUGCGCCUUCUGGUAUUCCGGAAGGCAGGCCUGUUCGAGAGUCAUUAACAACCGUUUCGAUCCCUUUCUUUCAGAAAUUACAAAGAGGAAAAGGGUUUGGUUAUGGUGGAGGAGGGAAAGGGAGCGUUUAGCCUGUAAAAAAAGAGGCUGUGUUCCGCCUCCCCCCCAAAAUUGUACAGGCGGUCGUGUGCGCCCACGCAUCGAGGUGUUGUAAAAGCUGCCACGGCACUUUUCACCUGUGCAGUGCGAGAUUGGCCAGCCGGUUUAAAAACCCCUCCAAACAAUCAAAGGUUGACCUCGGAUCAGGUAGGGAUACCCGCUGAACUUAAGCAUAUCAAUAAGCGGAGGA
rnacentral:misc_RNA from 1 species